GGUGGCGGUUAUGCUGGAGUUGUUCCACCCGAUCCCAUUCCGAACUCGGAAGUGAAAUACUCCAAGGCCGAUGAUAGUGGGUUUUUCCCGCGA
rnacentral:rRNA from 1 species